AAAACAGCCCUACGGGAGGCAGCAGUGGGGAAUAUUGCACAAUGGGCGGAAGCCUGAUGCAGCAACGCCGCGUGAGGGAUGACGGCCUUCGGGUUGUAAACCUCUUUUAGCAGGGAAGAAGCGAGAGUGACGGUACCUGCAGAAAAAGCGCCGGCUAACUACGUGCCAGCAGCCGCGGUAAUACGUAGGGCGCAAGCGUUAUCCGGAAUUAUUGGGCGUAAAGAGCUCGUAGGCGGUUUGUCGCGUCUGCUGUGAAAUCCCGAGGCUCAACCUCGGGCCUGCAGUGGGUACGGGCAGACUAGAGUGCGGUAGGGGAGAUUGGAAUUCCUGGUGUAGCGGU
rnacentral:rRNA from 1 species